rnacentral:rRNA from 1 species
GAUGAACGCUGGCGGCGUGCCUAAUACAUGCAAGUCGAGCGAACAGACGAGGAGCUUGCUCCUCUGACGUUAGCGGCGGACGGGUGAGUAACACGUGGAUAACCUACCUAUAAGACUGGGAUAACUUCGGGAAACCGGAGCUAAUACCGGAUAAUAUAUUGAACCGCAUGGUUCAAUAGUGAAAGACGGUUUUGCUGUCACUUAUAGAUGGAUCCGCGCCGCAUUAGCUAGUUGGUAAGGUAACGGCUUACCAAGGCAACGAUGCGUAGCCGACCUGAGAGGGGGAUCGCCCACAGGGGAGCUGAGACACGGACCAGACCCCGACGGGAGGCAGCAAUGGGGAAUCUCCCGCAAGGGGGGAAAGCCGGGCGGGGCAACCCCGCGGAGGUGAAGAAGGUCUUCGGAUCGUAAAACCUUUUUUUUGGGGAAAAACAAAGGUGUAUGUAACGAUGCCCGUUUGAACGGAACCUAAUAAAAAGCCACGGGCAAACUAGGG